rnacentral:rRNA from 1 species
AGUCAAGUAAUUAAGUGCAUGUGGUGGAUGCCUUGGCAGUCAGAGGCGAUGAAAGACGUGAUAGCCUGCGAAAAGCUCCGGGGAGGCGGCAAAUAUCCUUUGAUCCGGAGAUGUCUGAAUGGGGGAACCCACCUACUUUAAGGUAGGUAUUGCAACAUGAAUACAUAGUGUUGCAAGGCGAACGAGGGGAAGUGAAACAUCUCAGUACCCUUAGGAAAAGAAAUCAAUUGAGAUUCCCUCAGUAGCGGCGAGCGAACGGGGAUCAGCCCAUUAAGUUAUGUGUGUUUUAGUGGAACGCUCUGGGAAGUGCGAACGUAGAGGGUGAUAUUCCCGUACACGAAAGGGCACACAUAAUGAUGACGAGUAGGGCGAGGCACGUGAAACCUUGUCUGAAUAUGGGGGGACCAUCCUCCAAGGCUAAAUACUCCUGACUGACCGAUAGUGAACCAGUACCGUGAGGGAAAGGCGAAAAGAACCCCUGUGAGGGGAGUGAAAUAGAUCCUGAAACCGCAUGCAUACAAGCAGUGGGAGCACCUUCGUGGUGUGACUGCGUACCUUUUGUAUAAUGGGUCAGCGACUUAUAUUCAGUAGCGAGGUUAACCGUAUAGGGGAGCCGUAGAGAAAUCGAGUCUUAAUAGGGCGUUUAGUUGCUGGGUAUAGACCCGAAACCAGGCGAUCUAUCCAUGAGCAGGUUGAAGGUUGGGUAACACUAACUGGAGGACCGAACCCACUGUCGUUGAAAAGCCAGGGGAUGACUUGUGGAUAGGGGUGAAAGGCUAAUCAAGCCUGGUGAUAGCUGGUUCUCCCCGAAAGCUAUUUAGGUAGCGCCUCGGACGAAUACCAUAGGGGGUAGAGCACUGUUUCGGCUAGGGGGUCAUCCCGACUUACCAAACCGAUGCAAACUCCGAAUACCUAUGAGUACUAUCCGGGAGACAGACUGCGGGUGCUAACGUCCGUAGUCAAGAGGAAAACAAUCCAGACCGCCAGCUAAGGCCCCAAAAUCAUAGUUAAGUGGGAAACGAUGUGGGAAGGCAUAGACAGCUAGGAGGUUGGCUUAGAAGCAGCCACCCUUUAAAGAAAGCGUAAUAG